rnacentral:rRNA from 1 species
AGUCACUGACAUUAGAUACCCCUGUAGUCCAGGGUGUAAACGCUGCAGACUUGGUGUUGGAGGCCCUUUGGGGCAUUCAGUGCCGGAGAGAAGUUGUUAAGUCUGCUACUUGGGGAGUACGUCCGCAAGGAUGAAACUUAAAGGAAUUGGCGGGGGAGCACCGCAACGGGAGGAGCGUGCGGUUUAAUUGGAUUCAACACCGUAAACUCACCAGGGAAGACUGUUACAUGAAGGCCGAGAUGAAGACUCUGCUAGAUUUUCAG